rnacentral:rRNA from 1 species
GAUGAACGCUGGCGGCGUGCCUAAUACAUGCAAGUCGAGCGAACAGACGAGGAGCUUGCUCCUCUGACGUUAGCGGCGGACGGGUGAGUAACACGUGGAUAACCUACCUAUAAGACUGGGAUAACUUCGGGAAACCGGAGCUAAUACCGGAUAAUAUAUUGAACCGCAUGGUUCAAUAGUGAAAGACGGUUUUGCUGUCACUUAUAGAUGGAUCCGCGCCGCAUUAGCUAGUUGGUAAGGUAACGGCUUACCAAGGCGACGAUGCGUAGCCGACCUGAGAGGGUGAUCGGCCACACUGGAACUGAGACACGGUCCAGACUCCUACGGGAGGCAGCAGUAGGGAAUCUUCCGCAAUGGGCGAAAGCCUGACGGAGCAACGCCGCGUGAGUGAUGAAGGUCUGCGGAUCGUAAAACUCUGUUAUUAGGGAAGAACAAAUGUGUAAGUAACUAUGCACGUCUGGACGGUACCUAAUCAGAAAGCCACGGCUAACUACGU